rnacentral:rRNA from 1 species
GAUGAACGCUAGCUACAGGCUUAACACAUGCAAGUCGAGGGGUAACGAGAGGAAAGCUUGCUUUCCUUGUCGACGACCGGCGCACGGGUGAGUAACGCGUAUCCAACCUGCCCCCAACUAGGGAAUAACCUUGCGAAAGUAAGACUAAUACCCUAUAAUUUCCUCAGAUGUCAUCUGACGAGGAAUAAAGAUUUAUCGGUUGUGGAUGGGGAUGCGGCUGAUUAGCUUGUUGGCGGGGUAACGGCCGACCAAGGCAACGAUCAGUAGGGGUUCUGAGAGGAAGGUCCCAACAAUGGAACUGAGACACGGUCCAAACACCUACGGGAGGCAGCAGUGAGGAAUAUUGGUCAAUGGGCGGAAGCCUGAGCCAGCCAAGUAGCGUGCAGGAUGACGGCCCUAUGGGUUGUAAACUGCUUUUAUACAGGAAUAAAGUUAGCCACGUGUGGUUAUUUGUAGGUACUGUAUGAAUAAGGACCGGCUAAUUCCGUGCCAGCCGCCGCGGUAA